CCCUUAGACGUUCUGGGCCGCACGCGCGCUACACUGACCAGUGCAACAAGCAUCCGUCCUUGGCCGACAGGCUCGGGCAAUCUUUGAACGCUGGUCGUGAUGGGGAUAGACUUUUGCAAUUUUUGGUCUUCAACGAGGAAUUCCUAGUAAACGCAAGUCAUCAACUUGCAUUGAUUACGUCCCUGCCCUUUGUACACACCGCCCGUCGCACCUACCGAUUGAAUGGUCCGGUGAAAUCUUCGGAUCUGAGAGAUGUCUGAUUAAUUUCGGACGCCUUUUGGAAAAGUUGCUUAAACCUUACCAUUUAGAGGAAGGUGAAGUCGUAACA
rnacentral:rRNA from 1 species